GCCGUGAUCGUCUAGAGGUUAGGACAUUGCGUUAUGUCCGCAAUAACCCAGGUUCAAAUCCUGGUCACGGCA
rnacentral:tRNA from 1 species